AUUCCAUGAUGAGGACAUUCUAGGAUGUAGUCUUGGAUGCGCUCCCAUGCUUCUGGAACGGAUUCAUGAUGUUUUUGCUAAAAAUUUGUAAUUUUCCCACGGAGAGC
rfam:Sorghum bicolor cultivar BTx623 chromosome 7, whole genome shotgun sequence.